GUGCUUGCUUUGGCAAUAUGUAUACUAAAAUUGAAACAAUACAGAUAUUAGCCUGGCCCUUGUGCAAGGAUGACAGGCAUAUUUUUGAAGUAUUCUGUAUUUUG